rnacentral:rRNA from 1 species
GACGAACGCUGGCGGCGCGCCUAACACAUGCAAGUCGAACGGUGAGGAGUAGCUUUCUUCUCGGAACAGUGGCGGACGGAUGAGUAACUCGUGAGCAAGCUGGCUCUAAUAGGGGGACAACAGUUGGAAACGACUGCUAAUACCGCAUGACUUAUCGGUAUGACAUCUUCCUGAUAGCUAAGAUUUUAUCAGUUAGAGAUGGGCUCGCGUCUGAUCAGAGAAUUGGCUGGGUAACGGACCACCAAGUCGACGAGCAGUAGCCGGAAUGAGAGCUUGAACGGAACCAUUGGGAGUGGGACACGGACCAGACCCCUAGGGGAGGAAGAAGGGGGGGCUAUUGGACACUGGGGGAAACAAUGAUCCAGCGACGCCGCGUGAGGGAAGAAGGUUUUAGGAUCGUAAACGUCUGUUGAAGGAGCAAAAAAUGAUGGUAUCCGUUUAGAAAGCCACGGCUAACUACGUG